GACGAACGCUGGCGGCGUGCUUAACACAUGCAAGUCGAACGGUAAGGCCCCUUUUUUGUGGGGUGCUCUAGUUGCGAAGGGGUGAGUAACACGUGAGUAACCUGCCCUUGCCUUUUGUUUAACUUCAGGAAAUUGGGGCUUAUACCGGAUAGGAGCUCCUGCUUCAUUGUGGGGGUUGGACAGUUUCGGCGGUUGGUGAUGGUCGCGCGGCUGUUCAGCCUGUUGGUGGGGUAGUGGCGUAGCAAGGCUUUGACGGGUAGACGGCCUGAGUGGGUGACCGGCAACGUUGGGACUGAGAUACGGCGCAGAAUCCGACGGGAGGCAGCAGUGGGGAAAAUUGCAAAGUGGGCGGAAGCCUGAUGCAGCAACGCCGCGUGCGGGGUGAAGGCCUUCGGGUUGUAAACCGCUUUCGCCUGUGACGAAGCGAGAGUGACGGUAAUGGGUAAAGAAGCACCGGCUAACUACGUG
rnacentral:rRNA from 1 species